CCUACGGGAGGCAGCAGUGGGGAAUAUUGGGCAAUGGGCGAAAGCCUGAUCCAGCCAUGCCGCGUGUGUGAAGAAGGCCUUCGGGUUGUAAAGCACUUUCAGUGGGGAAGAAAGCCUUGGGGCUAAUACCCUCGAGGAAGGACAUCACCCACAGAAGAAGCACCGGCUAACUCCGUGCCAGCAGCCGCGGUAAUACGGAGGGUGCGAGCGUUAAUCGGAAUUACUGGGCGUAAAGCGCGCGUAGGCGGUCUGAUAAGCCGGUUGUGAAAGCCCCGGGCUCAACCUGGGAACGGCAUCCGGAACUGUCAGGCUAGAGUGCAGGAGAGGAAGGUAGAAUUCCCGGUGUAGCGGUGAAAUGCGUAGAGAUCGGGAGGAAUACCAGUGGCGAAGGCGGCCUUCUGGACUGACACUGACGCUGAGGUGCGAAAGCGUGGGUAGCAAACAGGAUUAGAUACCCGAGUAGUC
rnacentral:rRNA from 1 species